GCUGCAGUGGCCAAGACCUACAACUGUCUGUCCAACUCCUUUCUCCCUUCAACAGCCGAGUCAAGGGCAGAGCUGCUGAAAUUAACAUCAGGAGAAGCAGUGUCUUUGGAGUUUCUGCAACCCUUGAAAAUACCAUCACAGUCACACAAGGCCACUCCAGAACCAAGCAAUGGUCCUAUGC